UAGCGGGUUGAAGUCCCGUCCGGGGAGUUGUCCGUACGCCCCGGUAGCAUGAGGAAGCGGCGUCGCGGCAACGCGGGGUCGUGAGUUUCCACACAGCAAGAGAGCAGGCCGUAACGCAA
rnacentral:ncRNA from 1 species